UCAGAGUUCAACAGUCCCCCUCUCUCUGGAGGGCACAACACGCAGGUAACAACACGGUGCUUGGCUUCUAUUACUCGGCGGUGCUCGGGUCUGCGCGGCUCGGCGGUCUCACGCAAAAUUAAAGCUAAACAAACACAUAGUUUCCCC